GUUUGUGAAGCGAAGAUUGUGAAGUGUGAAAUAAAAACAUGGAAACAAAAAGUUGUUUGGUAGCUAAAUUGGGUGAUAAUUACAAAGUGUCGGCCAAUCGACCAGUAGUGCUCUUGCAUCGAACCUUUUCAUGUUUUCUGGCGUACACCUAUAAAUAGUCAUUAGUGAAAAAUGACAAGGAUUUUCAUGAAUUUUUGAUAAAUUCCAGCAUUCAGCAAUUUAAGGUACUACGACCUUUUAUCCACAGCGUCUCCAUUCAGCUUUGAUGUCACCUGAUAAAAUGAUUUUUAAUAUCGAGUGAGCUGCCGUAAUGGGAUCUGUGAUGCAUUUUCUGACUUACCCCUCACAAUGGGACGAAGUGAGCAGAUCGAUUGUUUGGGCCCAUUCAACACAAAUUAAAACUUCCUAGGAUAAUCUCUACAAACGCUGCCCCCGCAGCAUGGAUACUAAGCAUUAGGAAUACUGGCUGUUUUAUAAACAUUCCUUCCCGC